CAAUAGCGUAUAUUAAAGUUGUUGCAGUUAAAAAGCUCGUAGUUGGAUUUCUGUGAGAGUGCCGGUGUCGGCUGAUGCUUGUACGCAGGCGCUCUUACAUCCUUCUGUUAACUGUUCUUGGCAUUUUAUUGCUGGUUCAGGGCUCAGAUAUUUUACCUUGAGAAAAUUAGAGUGUUUCAGGCGGGCUUAUGCCGGAAUACAUUAGCAUGGAAUAAUGGAACAGGACCUGUGCGUCUCUCGGGGCGCCGGUCUCCGUUAUUGGUUUCGGGGACUAAUGUAAUGAUUAAUAGGGAUAGUUGGGGGCAUUAGUAUUUAAUAGUCAGAGGUGAAAUUCUCGGAUUUGUUAAAGACUAACUUAUGCGAAAGCAUUUGCCAAGGAUGUUUUCAUUAA
rnacentral:rRNA from 1 species